GACGAACGCUGGCGGCGUGCUUAACACAUGCAAGUCGAACGGUGAAGCGCUUUCCUUUUUGGUUGGUGUGGAUGAGUGGCGAACGGGUGAGUAACACGUGAGUAACCUGCCCCCUUCUUCUGGAUAACCGCAUGAAAGUGUGGCUAAUACGGGAUAUUCUGCGCCUGCUGCAUGGUGGGUGUGGGAAAGAUUGUGCCUUUGGGUGUUUUCGGUGGGGGAUGGGCUUGCGGCCUAUCAGCUUGUUGGUGGGGUGAUGGCCUACCAAGGCGGUGACGGGUAGCCGGCCUGAGAGGGUGGACGGUCACACUGGGACUGAGACACGGCCCAGACUCCUACGGGAGGCAGCAGUGGGGAAUAUUGCACAAUGGGCGCAAGCCUGAUGCAGCGACGCCGCGUGAGGGAUGGAGGCCUUCGGGUUGUGAACCUCUUUCGCCAGUGAAGCAGGCCUGCUCCUUGUGGGUGGGUUGACG
rnacentral:rRNA from 1 species